GGAACCCUACGGGACGCAGCAGUAGGGAAUCUUCCACAAUGGGCGAAAGCCUGAUGGAGCAACGCCGCGUGGGUGAAGAAGGUCUUCGGAUCGUAAAACCCUGUUGUUAGAGAAGAAAGUGCGUGAGAGUAACUGUUCACGUUUCGACGGUAUCUAACCAGAAAGCCACGCCUAACUACGUGCCAGCAGCCGCGGUAAUACGUAGGUGGCAAUCGUUAUCCGGAUUUAUUGGGCGUAAAGGGAACGCAGGCGG
rnacentral:rRNA from 1 species